rnacentral:rRNA from 1 species
UAGUCCACGCCGUAAACGAUGAGAACUAGAUGUUGGGAGGAUUUUGCCUCUCAGUGUCGCAGCUAACGCGUUAAGUUCUCCGCCUGGGGAGUACGCCGGCAACGGUAAAACUCAAAGGAAUUGACGGGACCCGCACAAGCGGUGGAGCAUGUGGUUUAAUUCGAUGCAACGCGAAGAACCUUACCUGCCCUUGACAUUGACAGAAUCCCAGAGAGAUUUGGGAGUGCUUCGGCCUGGAAAACAGGUGCUGCAUGGCUGUCGUCAGCUCGUGUCGUGAGAUGUUGGGUUAAGUCCCGCAACGAGCGCAACCCUUGUCCUUAGUUGCCAGCACGUAAUGGUGGGAACUCUAAGGAGACCGCCGGUGAUAAACCGGGAGGAAGGUGGGGACGACGUCAAGUCAUCAUGGCCCUUAUGGGGCAGGGGCUACACACGUGCUACAAUGGCCGGGUACAGAGGGGUUGCCAACCCGCGAGGGGGGAGCUAAUCCCAGAAAGCCGGGUCGUAGUCCGGGAUCGGGAGUCUGCAACUC